rnacentral:rRNA from 1 species
UGGGGAAUAUUGGACAAUGGGCGAAAGCCUGAUCCAGCCAUGCCGCGUGUGUGAAGAAGGUCUUCGGAUUGUAAAGCACUUUAAGUUGGGAGGAAGGGCAGUAAGCGAAUACCUUGCUGUUUUGACGUUACCGACAGAAUAAGCACCGGCUAACUCUGUGCCAGCAGCCGCGGUAAUACAGAGGGUGCAAGCGUUAAUCGGAAUUACUGGGCGUAAAGCGCGCGUAGGUGGUUCGUUAAGUUGAAUGUGAAAGCCCCGGGCUCAACCUGGGAACUGCAUCCAAAACUGGCGAGCUAGAGUAGGGCAGAGGGUGGUGGAAUUCCAGGUGUAGCGGUGAAAUGCGUAGAUAUAGGAAGGAACACCAGUGGCGAAGGCGACCACCUGGGCUCAUACUGACACUGAGGUGCGAAAGCGUGGGGAGCAAACAG